rnacentral:rRNA from 1 species
UACGGGGGGAGCAAGCGUUGUUCGGAUUUACUGGGCGUAAAGGGCGCGUAGGCGGCGCAACAAGUCACUUGUGAAAUCUCCGGGCUUAACCCGGAGCGGCCAAGUGAUACUGUCGUGCUAGAGUGCGGAAGGGGCUACUGGAAUUCUCGGUGGUAGCGGUGGAAAUGCGUAGAUAUCGAGAGGAACACCUGCGGCGAAGGCGGGUAGCUGGGCCGACACGUGACGCUGAUGCGCGAAAGCCAGGGGAGCGAACGGG